rnacentral:lncRNA from 1 species
UCUCUUCCCUCUUGUUAAAAUUCUCCUCCCAGGUCUCCCUAACUCUUCCAGCCUUACUCAGCCUCUCUGCAUCAGCUUCCUGUAAACACGGACGCCCUCUAGAAGCUUCUGGAUUUUGCUACUUCAGAUCUUGGUGAAGUGUGAUCCCACCCAAUUCUGCUCAAUUGACUUAAGCUCCUGCCAGUACAGGUAUCAUUAACACCAUUCCACAUACCAGAAAGCCAAAGCUCAAAGGACUUACAACCAGGUGAAGGCAAAGCCAGAUCCAAAUGUAGGCCUGCCUGACUCUACGCUGGGUAUUUCUCCUCUAUUCCAGUUACUUUUGUGCCUUUAUGUUUAAAGACGGUAUUCACCCAAAGUUGGUAAGCCUGUCUCCUUGUUUUUUGUUUUUGUUUUUCUAAAGCUGCAUGAACUGGGUGUGCCGGCCCUCUCCUU